rnacentral:tRNA from 1 species
GGGCUCGUGGUCUAGCUGGUCAGGAGCCUUCACACGGCGGAGGUCUCGAGUUCGAAUCUCGACGAGCCCA